rnacentral:tRNA from 1 species
GGAGAGAUGGCAGAGUGGUCGAUUGCGGCGGUCUUGAAAACCGUUGAACAGCAAUGUUCCUGGGGUUCGAAUCCCUAUCUCUCCG